UACGUAGGCAGCAAGCGUUGUUCGGAAUUACUGGGCGUAAAGAGUGUGUAGGCGGUGUUCUAAGUCUGUUGUGAAAUCUCCCGGCUUAACUGGGAGGGUGCGGCGGAAACUGGAAUGCUAGAGGAUGGGAGAGGUAAGCGGAAUUCCUGGUGUAGCGGUGGAAUGCGCAGAUAUCAGGAGGAACACCGGUGGCGAAGGCGGGUCUCUGGGCAGUAACUGACGCUGAGGAGCGAAAGCGUGGGGAGCGAACAGG
rnacentral:rRNA from 1 species